UACGUAGGGUGCAAGCGUUGUCCGGAAUUAUUGGGCGUAAAGGGCUCGUAGGCGGUUUGUCGCGUCGGGAGUGAAAACUCAGGGCUUAACCCUGAGCCUGCUUCCGAUACGGGCAGACUAGGGGUAUGCAGGGGAGAAUGGAAUUCCUGGUGUAGCGGUGAAAUGCGCAGAUAUCAGGAGGAACACCGGUGGCGAAGGCGGUUCUCUGGGCAUUACCUGACGCUGAGGAGCGAAAGUGUGGGGAGCGAACAGG
rnacentral:rRNA from 1 species